rnacentral:rRNA from 1 species
GCGAAGCCUGAUCCAGCCAUGCCGCGUGAGUGAUGAAGGCCUUCGGGUUGUAAUGCUCUUUUGGCGGGGAAGAUAAUGACGGUACCCGCAGAAUAAGCCCCGGCUAACUUCGUGCCAGCAGCCGCGGUAAUA